GGAUGAGCACGACAGUGCAGGUGAGCAUGAAGGAUGGACAAUCUUCGGGGAUUUUAGAUUGGGAACACAACAAAACACUAACACUCAGGGAUUUGGGAAUAGUCAGACGCUUGCUAAUAUCGAUGAUUCGUUUUUAGAUCGAAUCAAUGAAUUGUUAAACGAAUUCAAUCAAUGGCACCAGCGUGACCAAGAAGAACAAUAACGUC
rnacentral:lncRNA from 1 species